rnacentral:rRNA from 1 species
UCCUGGCUCAGAGUGAACGCUAGCGGUGCGCCUAAUACAUGCAAGUCGAAUGAGUUUAGACUCAUGGCGAACGGCUGAGUAACACGUUGGAACCUACCCCGUACUCAGGGAUAACCCAGAGAAAUUUGGGAUAAUACCGGAUGGUCUCGUAAGAGUAAAGCUUUUGCGGUACGGGAGGGGCCUGCGGCCUAUCAGGUAGUUGGUAAGGUAACGGCUUACCAAGCCUAUGACGGGUAGCUGAUCUGAGAGGAUGAUCAGCCAGAAUGGGACUGAGACACGGCCCAUACUCCUACGGGAGGCAGCAGUAAGGAAUCUUCCGCAAUGGACGAAAGUCUGACGGAGCGACACCGCGUGGUGGAUGACACCCUUUUCGGGCGUAAACACCUGUUCUGAGGGACGAAGUUUCUGACGGUACCUCAGGAGAAAGCACCGGCUAAUUCCGUGCCAGCAGCCGCGGUAAGACGGAAGGUGCAAGCGUUACUCGGAAUUACUGGGCGUAAAGCGUCCGCAGCCUCUUUGGUUAGUCUGGUGUAAAAUUUUGGAGCUCAACUCUAAACGUGUGCCGGAAACUGCCAAGGUAGAGUUAUACAGAGGUAACUGGAAUUUCGUGUGUAGGGGUAAAAUCCGUUGAUCCACGAAGGAACGCCAAAAGCGAAGGCAGGUUACUGGGUAUAUACUGACGGUCAGGGACGAAAGCGUGGGGAGCAAAGGGGAUUAGAUACCCCCGUAGUCCACGCCCUAAACGAUGUGUGCUUGGUGUUGGAUACUCAAUCGUAUUCAGUGCCACAAGCUAACGCGGUAAGCACACCGCCUGGGGAGUACGAUCGCAAGAUUAAAACUCAAAGGAAUAGACGGGGACCCACCACAAAGCGGUGGAAGCAUGGGGUUUAAUUUCGAUAGUAAGCGGAGAACCUCACCCAGACUUGACAUCUCGAGAACGUCCUAGAAAUAGGAAAGUGCCGUAAGGAACUCGAUGACAGGCGUUGCACGGUCGUCGUCAGCUCGUGCCUUGAGGUGUACUGUUAAGUCAGCAAAUGAGCGCAACCCUCAUCCUGUGUUGUUUUUUCUCAGGAGACUGCCGCCUCCAAGGCGGAGGAAGGUGAGGAUGACGUCAGCUCAGCAUGACCCUUAUGUCUGGGGCAACACCCGUGCUACAAUGGCCGGUACAAAGGGCAGCCAACCCGCGAGGGGGAGCCAAUCCCAUCAAAACCGGUCUCAGUUCGGAUUGGAGUCUGCAACUCGACUCCAUGAAGUUGGAAUCGCUAGUAACCGUGAAUCAGCUAUGUCACGGUGAAUAUGUUCCUGGGUCUUGUACUCACCGCCCGUCAACUCAUGAAAGGCAGGGGCGCCCGAAGCACCCUUAUCCCUCGGGAGGGGUACCACGGUGAAACUGCUGAUUGGGAGUAAGUCGUAACAAGGUAUCCGUAGGAGAACCUGCGGCUGGAUCACCUCCUU